rnacentral:lncRNA from 1 species
CGGAGCAGUGUUCUCCUCAGCACAGACCCAGGCGGGCCGGGGGCACCGCGAGGGCGGAGCUGCGUUCUGCUCAGCACAGACCCGGGGGACACCGCUAAGGCAGAGCAGCGUUCUCCUCAGCACAGACCUUUGGGGCACUGCCUCGCUUUGGGACAACUCGGGACCGCAUAGACGGGAUCAUGGCACAAGUUGCAGUUUCCACCCUGCCCAUGGAAGAUGAGGAGUCUGUUGAAGAUGAUUCCGUGGAGAGCAGGAUGGUGGUGACAUUUCUCAUAUCAGCUCUCGAGUCCACGACAAAAUCUUGCUCUGUUGCCCAGGCUGGAGUGCAGUGACAUGAACAUGGCCAGUGCAGCUGUGACCUUCCAGGCACAAGUGAUCCUCUCACCUCAGCCUCCUAAG